rnacentral:tRNA from 1 species
GUGCUUGUAGCUCAGUUGAUCAGAGCGCCUGGUUGUGGCCCAGGAGGUCGCCGGUUUGAGCCCGGUCAAGCACCCCA